GUGCGGAAGGUCAGGUCCAGGAACUCUAACUCCUUGUCACUCAAGAAAUGUCCUCCCUUUCAGAAUAUGCCUUGCGCAUGUGUCGUCUCAGUGCCCGGCUAUUUGGUGAAGUCGUCAGGCCUACUGAUUCCAAGUCUAUGAAAGUGGUGAAACUGUUUAGUGAACUGCCCUUGGCCAAGAAGAAGAAGACUUAUGACUGGUAUCCAAAUCACCACACUUACGCUGAACUCAUGCAGACACUCCGAUUUCUUGGACUCUACAGAGACGAGCAUCAGGAUUUUAUGGAUGAGCAGAAACGACUAAAGAAGCUUCGUGGAAAGGAGAAACCAAAGAAUGGAGAAGGGAAAAGAGCAGCAAAAAGGAAAUAGUGUUGGUCCCUCAAGAGGGAGAAUUUAUUCCUCAGUGGCAGAGAGAAGAAAGUGCAUUUAUUGUCUUUCCACAUAUUGGAGGAAUGUCAUCUUCCUAAAUGAAGGUUAUUUGGAGGAACACA